UCCGGUUUAUCACCGGCAGUCCCCUAUGAGUCCCCGGCCGAACCGCUGGCAACAUAGGGCAAGGGUUGCGCUCGUUGCGGGACUUAACCCAACAUCUCACGACACGAGCUGACGACAACCAUGCACCACCUGUCACUCUGUCCCCCGAAGGGGAACGUCCUAUCUCUAGGAGUGUCAGAGGAUGUCAAGACCUGGUAAGGUUCUUCGCGUUGCUUCGAAUUAAGCCACAUGCUCCGCCGCUUGUGCGGGUCCCCGUCAAUUCCUUUGAGUUUUAGCCUUGCGGCCGUACUCCCCAGGCGGGGCACUUAAUGCGUUAGCUUCGGCACGGAGGGAGUCGACACCCCCCACACCUAGUGCCCACCGUUUACGGCGUGGACUAC
rnacentral:misc_RNA from 1 species